rfam:Triticum aestivum genome assembly, contig: Triticum_aestivum_CS42_TGACv1_scaffold_642885_T_3AL-0.089407_3B-0.050498
AUUCUACUCCCUCCGUUGCACAAUACAUGCCUUCUAUUUGUCAAAAUAUAUGUGUAUCUAGACAUGUUUUAGUAUAUAGGUACAUCCAUUUUUGGACAAAUGGAAGUCAAGUAUUUUGGAACGGAGGGAGUACACA